AUGUUCUGGCCUCCAAUUCUCAUCCUUCUAGUGUUGUGGUGCACAGGUUCGGAUGCUCAGCCUGUGCUCACUCAGCCCUCAUCGGCAUCGGUGUCACUAGGAAGCACAGUGAAGCUCUCCUGUGUCAUGAGCACCGGGUUCAGCAUCAGUGGCUACUACACGUACUGGUACCAGCAGAAGCCUGGGAACCCCCCAAGAUACCUCUUAUAUUAUUAUUCAGAUUCCAGCAAGGGCCAGGCGUCUGGACUCCCCUCUCGUUUCUCUGGGUCCAAAGACACAUCAGGAAACACUGGCUAUUUAACCAUCGCGGGAGCCCUGGCAGAAGACGAGGCUGAUUAUUACUGUGCUACAGCUCAUGGUAGUGGUAGCAGCUUUGUGUAA